UGUCUCUAAGUACAGACCCCACCCCCACUGCCCUUUUGGCUCUCUUCACGAGGGGUCCGUGUCUUCACGGGCCUUCAGAGGACUGCGACAGGUGCAAGAGGGGCUUGGAUGUGAGUUAUCACACACUUUAGGAUGCUGUGCGAAGGCUAGGGAUCAGGACACCCCAUACCGCACUUCCUGAGCUGACUCAGUGGAGUUGGCCCCAGGCGUGGUCAGCCUGGGCUAGAAGGACUUUCCUGAACCGGUGGCCGCACCGUCUAAUUCCCAUCCUGCCCUGUUCUUACAGUUCUGGCCUCUGGAGGCUCCUGAAGGACACUAAUGGGGCCGGGAGGGGGGGGGGUUGCAAGCAGAGGGAAGGGGGUUACCUGAGCCUCCCAGGCAGGGGAAAGCAGAGGCCAGGACACAGAGCAUAAAUACUGGGGCGGGCAGGCUGAGUCUCAGCGCCCAGCCCCGCACCCCCAAUCCUGCUGCUCCCUUGAGACCUCAGGAGCCUCUUUCGCCCCCUCCCUCCCACAGGCAGCUGGAGCCUGAGUCACGAGCUGCCUCUCAGGAGACAAAGGCAGCCCAACGCCUUCCCUCCAGACCCCCUCCUGGUGCCAGCAUCUGUACUAGCAGGGAGUCCAACCUCUCUAGAACCUCAUGAGGAAAUGGAAGAACUCAGGUGUCGCCUUCUGACUUGAGUGACAACUGAUAGUCACAUCACUAUCUUCUGCAGGGGCACUCCCAGGUCCUGAGGGUCAUCAUGAGGUCGAGGAUGAGCAGACGCCAACCAGCACAGCGGCAGUAAGAGAGGGCAACAAGGGCAGACUCUGGACAUCAGAAGACAACCCAGCUCUAAAGCGCUGCUCAGAGAUGGGAGUGGAGGGAGAGAACCCCCAGAGCCCCUGCGGCCCCAAGGCACCCGAGCUGGGCUGGAAGCAGAGGGACACUGGGGUGAAUUGGAAACCGAGUCCUUGUCCUCCUGGUGUCCCCGUCUGGACAUCCAGAAGUAUCCUGAUAAUCUCUGCCUCCCAGAAGGAAUGGGAAGGAGGAUCAUAAAUCUGCCCUUCAGAAAAAGGCAGAGUUGUUCAGUAAAGAGUGGAACUCACCGUGUAGACCAGUUCAGCUUCAAGCAACUCUCCUGAUUCAUCUUUAGGGGUGUUCUGUUUGCAUUUUGAGACAGGGUCUCAUUCUGUAGCCCAGGCUGUUCAAAGUUGUGGACCCAAGUGGUCUUCACUUAGCCUCCCAAGUCUUCUGACUGCUCCAUCAUCGCAGAAGGAACCAACCACUCAUCCAAAGGCCGCCGGGAUCCGAUUCCGCAGAGCUUUAAGCUGAGCCGCCUUGUGGGUUCAAUUUCAGACAACAAUUUGAGUGAGGCUUUGGAGAGGGUCCCUGGUGGGGCGCGCCUGAAGCGCUGGUCCUACAGAACCCCUCCCUCCCCGCGCAGCGGCCGUGCUCCUCCCCCCCG